GUGGGUAUAGCUCAGUAGGUUAGAGCACCAGAUUGUGGCUCUGGGGGUCAUCGGUUCGAAUCCGAUUAUCCACCCCA
rnacentral:tRNA from 1 species